ACAGCUUCGGGACGACUGGAUCGCCGCGCCUGGGCCGGAGCGAGCCAUCUGCGGGCACUAUGCAAAGCGGGAGACGGCGCGAGCGGCGCCCGGCUCACACUAGCUCUUCCAGGACGCAGGUGUUCUAACCGGGAUGUGACAGUUGAGGCUGGGAGCAGAAAUAAUCAACAUGCCCAUUAGAUACAGGACGGAAUAAUGCUUCUAUUGGUUGGGUCCCUUCGAGAGAGAACCAUUCUCUGCUUUCAAUAGGACAGAAGAGCUCCUUGGCACUGGAUGCCUCCGGGUCUGGUUGAGAGAGGAAUGGUUAGGAGACUGUUCUGAGGAUACGCAGACAUCAUCCAAAGCUUCCUACAUUCAGAUGAGGACAGAGGUUGGGCCAGAGCUUUGUAAGCUUGUUACCUAAGGAUGGUUCUGACCAUGUAAGCAGAUCACAGAAGCUGGAGGCAAAGGAUGCCAAGAUGGGAAAGCCACAUAAUGGAAGGAUCCUGGAUUUCAGAGCUGUCACUUGGAGGAGGGGCACCCAGUGAAGGUGUCUUAUCUAACCCACACCAUAUCUUCAUGAAGUGGCCAUAUGGAUUUGAUCCCUAUCCUUCAGAGGUGCUCAGCCUAAGGGAACACGGAUAGUAGAUUAAGCACUGACCAGAGCCAGCCUUGACAAUGUGCUGAUGGCAACCUAGAACAUAAGCAGAGGAGUAUACAGGACAAGAACUUGAUGGUCUCGGGAAAAUGGACAACAUGACUCAGGUGAAAAAGAUUGAUCAUCAGAUGUUUCUUAUGUAUCAACCUGAUAUUUAAAUCCAUGAAGGACAGAGACGACAAAGGCAGGUGGAAUAGAUAGAGAAGAGAUUCAAGGUCUGAGCUCUACAUUACUCAAACUGUUAGAGAUUAGGAAGAAGAGGAAGACCUGGCAAAAGAAUGUCCUGGGAUGUAGAAAGAAAACCAGAAGCUUGUGUUCUCUGGAAACCAAAUGAAGAAAGGGCUUCCAGAAGGACAGACAAAGUGUAGUGUGUCAAAGGCUCCUGAGCAAUCAGAGGAGAGCACAAAGGGGCUCACAGGACUUUGGUAUCUGGAUCACCCAGUGACACUUCCUGAUCACGAGAAACUGUCAGACCAACAGGGGCACUUUCUGAAACCAGCAGUUCUUCAGUGCCCAAAUGCAACCUUGAUGGUUUGAUUUUGGAGGAUGGCAAUUCAUUAACAGCACUCCCCAGUGAUAAAUAUGAAAACCAAUAAAACCCCCCACCCAAGGCAAUCUCUCCCAGCUCCUCGCUUUGAGUAAAGAGAAACCAGGAGAAGGCAGUCCUAGGGCAGUCUCCGGGCCAGCUUUCCCUAAUAAGAAGGCAGAGCUCCUCUUCACCCAGACUUCAGACCUAUAGAGGCAGCCUGGGGUCCCGGGAUGCCCUUGCACUCAGAGAUGUCCCCAGAGUCCUAGGGAAAUGGAGGAUAACUAGGAGGAAGCUGUUCAUGGCUGGCGAUGAGGUCUAUACCUUCUUGUCCGUCUCAGUGCUGUCUGCUAUUGAAUUUUUGUGCAGAUCACAUUAACUUAAAGCCAGUUCUCAAGAAGCUCCCCCUGCCGCCGGCAUAUCCACCAGUUGCUCCCCUUUCCUGCCAUUAAUCAGGGUCUGCUAGUUAGAGAACAAAUUCCUAUUUGUCCAAACAGUUGCCAACACCCCCACCCCAAGGUAGUUAAAUGAGGAUGAAUGGGUCAUUCUUAUUAAAAAAUGACUUAAAUUUCUCAAAUUCUAUUUAUGUUUCUUUUACAUCCCAAUUUUCUAUAGAUUUAGUGACUCCAAAUGAUAAGGUCUCAAGCUCAUAAUAAUUUAUCCCUUGGGUAACACACAAGGCUUGGUGGUAUUUCAGUAAUAUUCAUGACAACAGCAGCUGUCGUGCUAAUAAGGACUGAUGUCACCAGAGCACUUUCUAUGUGCCAAGCAUGGUGCACAACACUUUACAUACAUUAUGUCAUUUAAUUUUCACAAAACCUCACAGAGGUAAAUAUUAUUAUCUUCCUCUGCAUAUAAGGAAAUGAAUGUUCGGAAAGAUUAAGUCAACUCACUGAGGUCCCAUCAGUGCUCUUUCAUAUGCCUCUGUUGCAGUCUCAUUGAACUGCUGAAAUCAGAAAAACCUGGAGACCUUGUUAACCUUCAGAUUCCUGGGCCCCAUCUUAGAUGCAGGGAGUCAGACUUCCUGGGAGUGUGGCCCUGGAAUUUUCAUUUGUAAACACAUUCCCCAAGAGACCUGUAUGCACACUAAAGUGGGAGAAUUCACGAUCUCUGGCUUUUGUGAUGUUUUAAACGCACUAUAUAAUUUCAGUAGCAAAAGAAUUGGGCUUUGGGAAGGGAGUGUGUGGUGAACCCUGAAAGCUGAAUGGACUUCCUUCCUGUGGAGGAGCAGUGGGAGAAACUGGAGGCAGAGAGCUGUGUUUCAUUCCUUGAUUGAGCCUUUGUGAGUUAUUUAAUCUCUUUCAGUCUCUAUUUUUUUCAUUUGUAAACCAGGAAGGAUACUUGUAUUUUCCAGGUGGUUGUGAGGUGUGAAAGAGAUGAGAGUAGAACAAAAUUUUAAAAGUUGAAAGCACUCAACAAAUGUAUUUGGUAUUAAUCAUGGGUUUCCCUGGGGCCGAGGAAGCCACCAGCCACCGCAGGCCUGUACACAAUGCCAGCCACCAUGUAUGGAUACGGAGGAGGCAAAAGGACUAGCGAACACUCCCAGGGACUGGAUGUCUUGAAUAUCUGUCCAACUUUCUUGGGAGGGGCCAUUUCUUCUGUAACUCAAAGGAAUUUAUUAUUUUUCAGCCAGGGAGGCAUGCUUUCUAUCUACUGCUAGUACUCCCAGACCAAGCUGUUUCAGUGGGACUGAGGUGUGACUUCUGCCUCGGUUUCAUCCAUCUGUGCAGGGAAGAGAAAAAUGCCUGCACCUCCACGGUCACACCCUCUGUUGGAACCACCUCCUUAAGCCAGAAUUAUUGAAUGUUCUCUAUGUGCCAGAAUUAUUAUUAUCUCAUUUGAUUCUCACAACAAUGCCAUGAAGUCUAUACAGACAUACCUUGGAAAUACAGCGGGUUUGGUUCCAGACCACCGCAAUAAAGCUAAUACCGCAAUAAAAUGGGUCACACGAAUUUUUUGGAUUAGGCUUCGGCUUAAGGGAAUGUUGUGGCUGGUUUGAUGUUUUAUCCAGACCGCUAACACUUUCUCCCUAUCAGCAAUGAGGCUGUUUUGCUUUCUUAUCAUUCCUGUGUUCACUGGAGUAGCACUUUUAAUUUCCUUCAAGAACUUUUCCUUUGCAUUCAUAACUUGGCUAACUGUUUGGCACAAGAGGCCUGCCUAGCUUUUGGCCUAUCUAAGCUUUUGACUUGCCUUCCUCACUGAGCUUAAUCAUCUCUAGCCUUGGAUUUAACGUGGAAAAUGUGUGACCCUUCCUUUCACUUGAACACUUGGAAGCUAUUGUAGGGUUAUUAACUGGCCUAAUUCAAUAUUAUUGUGUCUCAGGGAACAGGGAGGCCCAGAGAGAGAGAGACGGGAAAACAGAAAGUCAGUGGGGCAGGCAGAACACACACGUUUAUUUAUUAAGUUUGCUGUCAUAUGUUGGUGCAGUUCAUGCUGCCCCAAAACAAUUACAAUAACAAGAUCAAAGAUUCCUGGUCAUAGAUUGCCAUAACAGAUACAGUAAUCACGAAAAAGUUUGAGAUAUUGUGAGAAUUACGCAGAUAUUGUGAGAAAUAUGACCCAGAGACAAGAAGCGAGCACAUGCCGUUAGAAAAAUGGCACCAACAGACUUGCUUGCUGCAGGGUUACACAUACCUUCAAUUUGUAAAAAAAAAAAACUGUAAUAUCUGCAAAACGCAAUAAAGAAAAGUGUAAUAAAAUGCAGUCUGCCUGAACUUCAAUUAUUCCCAUUUUAUAGAAGAGGAAAUAGAUGCAGGGAGUUUGAUCUGCCUGAACUAGUAAAUGGUAGAACUCUGGGACUAACAUUCCUAUCCUCUAUGCUACAUUCCUAGGAAAGAACGCUCAGACAGGGUUGGACUGAGAGUGUGUUAAGCUUUGCACUGUUUUGAGCCCUCUGAAGGAGUGUCCGUAUUUGAAAGCUGGCCUCCUUCCUUUCACUGGCCCUCCACAGUGUGGCCUAAGUUAUUCAAUUAGGAAGGGAAAUAAUUGGCAGUGGAGAAUGCCUCUAGCAGUGGUAAUUACCUCCAGUGCCUUGUAGGAAUAGUCAAGCUACAUUUCAGUUUAUGCUGUAAAACCUUAAUUAUAAUAUAAACAGCUGCCCUUCAGCCCAGUGGGGCAGCCUUCCCCCGCCUUCCUUCUCUGGCCUCUGAAUGGCCCUGCCUCCUGAAUGGUCAGGGAGGUCCAGGGACGGAAGGAGACCUGGGAGGAGGGGAGCCGAUGACUAUGCGUGCGUUGGGGUUUGGAAGACUAAGCUGGAGGGAGCCACUGCCAGGGUCCCAUCUUCAAGUGAUGAAGCCAAAGGCAGCAUCCCCAUUCUUGGUACCACUCACACUGAGUCUCUUGGGGGAGCAGCCUCCAGCCAUUAGCAGUCAGCCCAGUGCCAUUAGGCUAGGAUAGGGUUUAGCAGGCUAUGGUAUCAUUUCAGGGUAACAUCUCUUUCUAUUUACUCCCCUAUAAGGGAGAACAGAGUCUUCCCUUCUAGAUCCAGACUUCCUGGCCAUGUAGGAGCCCUGUUGAGUGCCUGGUGCACUCUAGGUAGUAUGCGAGGCAUGGUUGCAAGGGUUCCCCAUUUCAACUUCACAGCACUUGGAUACACAGAAAAUUAACAUCCUCAUUUGACUAUUGAGGAAAAUGAGACUUUGAAAGUUUAAACGGAGAUAAGGCUUGGGAGGCAGACAGCCCUGUAAGUGACUUAAGUUCAGGAAGGAGAAGGACACUCAAUAUUUUUGUUCAGAGCACUGGGAAGGAGAGAGAGGGAUCAGUCACCAUCGGGCAUUUGAGAAGGUCCAGGAACAGGGGGCUGGUGAGCAGAGGGGGGAAUAACACCAGAGGGGCUGAAAUUGCUGAUUGCUGGGUUCACAGAUCUACCCACGAGCGGCCCAGGUACCCCAUGAGCGGCUGCUCUGUGUCAUCUGACCACUGGAUUGUAACCUGGGCUGAAAGAAUCAGAAGUCAGUGUGGCGAGGCAGGAGUCCUCAGAUGGUCAGAGCUGACUCUUCAACUCUUAAGGGCAAAAUGGAAAAUGUGAGCUUGUUGGUGGUCUUCGAAACACAGUAAGCAAUCCAUGCCCCUGAAGAGCAGGGAUAAUUAUAGGCAUGCCCUUGUUUUAUUGUGCUUUGCAGAUAUUGCAUGUUUUUACAAAUUGAAGAUUUAUGGCAACUCUGCAUACAGCAAAUCUAUUGAUGCCAUCUUUUUCCAAUAUCACAUGCUCACUCUGUGUCUCUGUCUCACAUUUUGGUAGUUCUCCCAAUAUUUCACACCUUAUUAUUAUUAUUAUAUCUGUUAUGAUGAUCUGUGGUCAGGGAUCUUUGAGGUUACUAUUGUAGUUGUUUUGAGGUGCCAUGAACUGCACCCAUGUAAGACAGCGAACAUAAUCAAUAAAUGUUGUGUGUUCUGACUGCUCCACCAACCGACUGUUUCCCUGUCUCUUUCUCUCUCCUCUGGCUCCCUAUUCCCUGAGGCACAAUCAUAUUGAAAUUAGGCCAAAUAAUAACCCUACAAUGGCUUCUAAAGGUUCAAGUAAAAGGAAGAGUCACAUCUCUUACUCUAAAUCAAAAGCUAGAAAUGAUUAAGCUUAGUGAGGAAGGCAUGUGGAAAGCUGAGA
rnacentral:lncRNA from 1 species